UUCAAUCUUUUCUUACUCCCGGUGCCAUAGUUACAUCGCCCAUAAGCAUAUAUAAAAUUACCGUACAGAGUAGAUGUGCUAGACAAAACACAUCAAUACAAAAGCCACCUUCAGAUCAGAAGGCCAGAUGAACUACCACCACUUUUCACUUAUAUAGACAUAAUCGAGCUGAGCUAGCAGAUUACCCACAAAGCCAGCCGUCCACUAGGAACUAAGUGAACUAAAUCCAAACCGACAUGGACAUCCUAGAAAUAAGUACUCACAUCAUCCACCUACUCAAAUCCUACUGUUAGAACAACCUCCUCUAAACCAGAGAACGAGCAUUGUCAUCUUCUGAGGUGCUGUCCCCUGAGCUCCCUGACCCUGAACCUGUAAAGAAAGUCGAAUGGGAAACAUUGUAGGAAGUUUAAUUAACGAAGAAUAAAUGAUGUUUCUGGAAAAGGGGAAGAAUAUAUAGUGAGUUCGAAAGUACCACUGGAUGAGGAAUAAACUGUGUUUCUCAAGAAGGAAAAGAAGAAACAGUCGCUUCGACAGUAUCACCGAGCAUCAAGAAGAACCACCAGAGACACUCGUAUCCUCAGCACCAUUCUCGGCCUCCACUGAUUGGUAAGUCAGCGGUCUCAUCCACCUGCUCAGCCCCCACUACAUUCGUCUUCUCAGGAUUCGCACUCUCCUGUAACCUGCAAAUAGCAAAACAAAACAGAACAACUGAGAGUCCAAUUUGCAUAUGCACUAACUGAAAACGAGAACAACACAUGUAGGAACAGCACCAUUCGCAACCUCAGAGCAUUGCCAGCUUCUGAGGUGCUGUCCCCUGAGCUCCCUGACCCUGAUCCUGUAAACAGAGUCAAAUGCGAAACAUUGUACGAAGUUUAAUUCAUGAAGAUUAAACGAUGUUUCUCAAAAAGGGAAAGAAUAAACAGUGGGUUUGGCACUACCACUGGAUGAUGAAGAACCACUACCCGAACCACCAGAGACACUCAUGGCCUCGGCACCCUUCUCGAUCUCCACUGAUUGAUAAGUUGCGGUUGGCAUCUCAUCAUCUAUAUCUACAUACUCAUCUACCUGCUCAGAUACUACAGUGUACUCAGGAUUCUCGCUCUCCUGUAAAUAAUAAAACAAACAACAGCCGUGAGAAUCCAAUUUGCAUACCCACCAACUGCAAACAAGAAGAACACAUGUUGUUUCAUCUACUGCCAUUACCACGUCAGCAUUGUCAACCAAUGUAGGCACAGCACCAUUCACAGCUUCAGCUCCAACAGCAUCGUUGACCUCAGCAAUGUCCCCAUUCAUCAUCGCAGCUCGUCAGUUCUUUUUGAGCGCCUUAUUGAACAUUUCGACCAUGUAAGCACUUGAUGAACCAUAUCAAUCCCUGCAAAGAAAAGAAGAACAUUCACAAGGGGCAAAUUUGCCGCACUGGCAAACACAAGCUGAGUAACUCAACUCAGAAAUUUGCACCAGCACACAAAACACGUUUUACUGGCACUCCAGUUAGAUGUUGGGAAAAGCUUACAGCAACAGGAAGUUCUCUUACCCAGUAAUAACAAGCCAGUUAAAAAUAAUACAUACUCUAACUGAAAUCAAGGGUAUAAUUUCAGAAAAGGCGAGCAGCGUCACCAGGACAAAAGAGUCCCAAUCAACUCAUGUUUGCAUGGCUACUAAUUUUUUUUUAUCAUUUAUAUACCUCUGAGAAAGAUUAAACCAUUCUCAUAUCAAUAUAAGUCACCAGACAAAGAUGAAAACGAUGAUUUCAACAUUUUCUUACUCUGAUGCGAUAGUUAUGUCGCCCAUAAGCAUGAAGUACACAACAGAUGUGCUAGAGAAAACACAUCAAUACAAAAGCCACCUUCAGAUCAGAAGGCCAGAUGAACUACAACAUGACUCAGUACCCUCCACUUUUCACUUCUAUAGACAUAGUCGAGCUGAGCUAUGAGAUUACCCACAAAACCAGCCAUCCACUAGGAACUAGCUUAACUAAAUCUAAACCGACAUGCACAUCCCAGAAAUAAGUAAUCACAUCAUCCACCUACUCAAAUCCUACUGUUAGAACGACCUCCUCUACACUAGAGAACGAGCAUUGCCAGCUUCUGAGGUGCUGUCCCCUGAGCUCCCUGACCCUGAACCUGUAAACGGUGUCAAACGGGAAACAUU
rnacentral:lncRNA from 1 species